rnacentral:rRNA from 1 species
UACGUAGGUGGCAAGCGUUAUCCGGAAUUAUUGGGCGUAAAGCGCACGCAGGUGGCUGCUUAAGUCUGACGUGAAAGCUCCUGGCUUAACCGGGAGAGGUCGUUGGGUACUGGGCGGCUUGAGGCGAGGAGAGGGGCGUAGAAUUCCCGGUGUAGUGGUGGAAUGCGUAGAUAUCGGGGGGAAUACCAGAGGCGCAAGCGGCGCCCUGGCCUGUGCCUGACACUCAUGUGCGAAAGCGUGGGGAGCGAACGGG